AUGUUUGCUUUCUUUUUGUUAUUGUAUGGGAACUGCUGAGUCACAGCCUGAACCUCUGAUUGACCACCUGAGGUGAGCACUGAGUCAGCCACAGGAGCACAGGUGAAGGCAAUUCAGCUGUGUGCCGGAAGGGGGGGAGCCUGGCUGCACCUCUCCUAGACCUAUUGAAGAGCUGGCUGCCAGUGGGGAAGGGUCUCUGCUGGAGAUCUGCUCUGCUGGAGUUUUGUGAGUGAGCCCAGGAUAGGGGCUGAUCAAUGUGAUCUGGUCGCAGACGUAUGGAAAACUGAAAAUCCCAAACAGGAUCCAAUUAAUAAAGACUCCAAGUUACUGAAGAAGAGAAAAGGAAACCUGUUAACAAAGAGGGAGAAGAACAAUAACAUAAAUGCUAAAUCAGACACAUACAACUUUUGUGGGAAGCCUUUCAGACUCACAGAUGAGAUACACUCUUAUUAGAGUUAUUUUGCCUUCCUCGGGAAGACUGCCUAGAGAUCAAGAAAAACACAGAGGUAAUAU